GAUGAACGCUGGCGGCGUGCUUAACACAUGCAAGUCGAACGAUGAAGCCCAGCUUGCUGGGUGGAUUAGUGGCGAACGGGUGAGUAACACGUGAGUAACCUGCCCUUAACUCUGGGAUAAGCCUGGGAAACUGGGUCUAAUACCGGAUAGGAGCGUCCACCGCAUGGUGGGUGUUGGAAAGAUUUAUCGGUUUUGGAUGGACUCGCGGCCUAUCAGCUUGUUGGUGAGGUAAUGGCUCACCAAGGCGACGACGGGUAGCCGGCCUGAGAGGGUGACCGGCAACACUGGGACUGAGACACGGCCCCGACUCCUACGGGAGGCAGCAGUGGGGAAUAUUGCACAAUGGGCGCAAGCCUGAUGCAGCGACGCCGCGUGAGGGAUGACGGCCUUCGGGUUGUAAACCUCUUUCAGUAGGGAAGAAGCGAAAGUGACGGUACCUGCAGAAGAAGCACCGGCUAACUACGUG
rnacentral:rRNA from 1 species